rnacentral:rRNA from 1 species
CACGUAGGAGGCGAACGUUAUCCGGAUUUACUGGGCGUAAGGCGCGUGUAGGUGGUUUGGUAAGUAGGGCGUGAAAGCUCCUGGCUCAACUGGGAGAGGCCGUUCUAAACUGCCGAACUAGAGGAUGGUAGAGGGAGGUGGAAUUCCGGGUGUAGCGGUGGAAUGCGCAGAUAUCCGGAGGAACACCAGUGGCGAAAGCGGCCUCCUGGACCACUCCUGGCACUCAGACGCGAAAGCUAGGGUAGCAAACGGGAUUAGAUACCCCGGUAGUCC